UGAACGCUGGCGGUAGGCUUAACACAUGCAAGUCGAGCGAGAAAGCCCUUCGGGGUGAGUAGAGCGGCGGACGGGUGAGUAACGCGUAGGAAUCUGCCUGGUAGUGGGGGACAACCUGUGGAAACGCAGGCUAAUACCGCAUACGCCCUGAGGGGGAAAGCGGGGGAUCUUCGGACCUCGCGCUAUCAGAUGAGCCUGCGUUAGAUUAGCUAGUUGGUGGGGUAAUGGCCUACCAAGGCGACGAUCUAUAGCUGGUCUGAGAGGAUGAUCAGCCACACUGGGACUGAGACACGGCCCAGACUCCUACGGGAGGCAGCAGUGGGGAAUAUUGCGCAAUGGGGGAAACCCUGACGCAGCCAUACCGCGUGUGUGAAGAAGGCCUUAGGGUUGUAAAGCACUUUCAAUUGGGAGGAAAGGUCCAGGGUGAAUACCCCUGGGCUGUGACGUUACCUUUAGAAGAAGCACCGGCUAACUCCGUGCCAGCAGCCGCGGUAAU
rnacentral:rRNA from 1 species